GACAGCCAGAGUGUUAUGAACUAAAUAACUCAGGCGCCAUCCCUGUGAUCAGAGGUCAGGUUCAGUCUGAGCUUUCAUGGUGAUCCUCAGACCCAUCUACCAUCACUCAACCUAACCAGCCUGUGGAGUUCAUCCCACCUCUCACCCUAUACUUGGGUGAACCUAAAUUAGCUCCAAAUCUCAUCCAUCUUCCUGGAGAAGGAAGCUCUACACCUUGUCUCUGACUUGGAAACUUUGGUCUGUCACCUACUUUGUUGACCAGAAGGUCCUGUAAGCAUAGUGAAGCUUCCAGGACUCAUCCCACCCAAUAUGGACCAGGACUCAGCUCCUGCAUAGGGUCUGAUCAAGGGACACAAUUUUGAGUCUAGAGGCCGGCUAUCCACAGACAGAGAUGAUCCUGUGCUGUCUCCAGAAAACAGAACCCAUAUGGUGUCUGCUGGAAGGUGAGAACCACUGGGAGCUAUUGGGGAAGGUUCAACUCUGUUCUGGAGAGGUCUAUGGACAUCUGUGUGUAGACAGAAGUGAUGAAGUGACUGCCUAUAUGUAAAUAAUAAACCCAUGGGGCAUUUCUUUGUCAAGCUGGCCGACCACAAAGAAUAUUCUAGAUCCAGUGAGAACUGUUUGCAAGUGACUAGGCCAGCACGUGAGGCAACUUGCCUGGCCCCCAGAUGUCCUCAGACUGACUUGGCCCAGCACUGUCCCCACAGUCUAGUUCAGUCUAACCGUAAUGCAUUUUCACAAUGGCUCCUCCUCACCUGAAAUUCCACCUUAUUAGGGUCACUCCUCCCUCUGAGGUCCUGGACUGUGAUCUCCCUCUGGGGCAGGAAAGUUGGUUUUCAUACUAAGAGAGAAUCGAGGAAAGAGAAGCCAGCUCCCCACAGAGACUUGCCACGCUGUCUCUUCCUGUUAAAGUCACCUGCCCAGGUAGGUGCCUCCAAAGAGGACUGUGUUCAGUGUCUCUGAAGGACCUCUCUGGCUUGGACUGGGGCCCUUUCCUAUCAGCAGGGCUGAGGGAGCUCCACGGGCCCCGGCCAGGAUGGAUGAGGAUGAUGGAGUCUGGAUAAGGUGAUGUUCAUAUAAUGUGUUCAUUAUUUGUUUACUAAUGAACUAGGACUUGUAGGUUGAUACGUUUGUAUAAGACAGCAAUAGGGAUUCACAAAACAUGUUUGUUUGUAAUUAUUUAUAUGUGUAUUCGCAUAAGACUGUGUGGAGGCUUUUCCUUUCAGUUGCUCUGAUGAAGCCCCCCAGAGAGACGGAUGGAGAUUCUCAGGGACAGAGUUAAUGCCAAAGUUUUGUGUAUGUGUAUACGAAGGGGUGAGCCCCUAGUUAAUUAUUUUUCACCAACAAAAAUACUGACAUCUCUGUUUGACAUCUGUGAGGAUCAAAGAUGGAUGAGUUUGCCCAGUUGGCCCAAAGUGUCAGCACAGCGCAGGGGACCUAAGAGAAAUUGGGAUUCUCCAUUGACAAGCAGGUGAGGCCCUGGAGCUCCCUGAGGCUUUCUGCACUGCAAAGGCACAGGUCAUCACUGGCUGAAUGUGCCCCACACCUGAUCCGUCUCCACAUCCAACACGCAGGCACCUCAGUCUGUGACACUCAUUGCCCUACCCCAGUGGGAAAGGUCCAGCUGCCUCCUUUGACUGGCAAUGUUCAUCUGUCACUCACUUGUGCUCAUCUGUGACUGUCUUGCUGGCCCUGAGGUCUUGUGAGCAGACUAAGUGGUUCCAGAAGUGUCUCAGGUCUCAGACACGAGCUCCCCAGCUGUGUCCCACCAAGGUGACAGGGUAGCCAGGCCUGAAGGGUCUUCCAGAUCCAGCUAGGGAUGCUGGGAGCUUGGCAGACCAGGAAGGUGUGAGUGGAGCAUGUUGGUGACAUAACUAUCCUCAGACACCCACCUUCAGGCAUAUACAGUGUAACUGUGUGUCCCUGCAGGACCCAUCUGGUGUCACUUGUGGUCACAAUGCCUACCAGGAAACCUGAGGUCCCCAUCACCUGCAUUCCAGUGGAGUCAGCCCCACCCCACAGGUAUCCCCUUUAGCAUGAGAGGCCAGAACCCAGAGCAUGAUGUUGCCCUGGCUGUGCUCAGGUAGAGGGCUCUGGAUUCGGGCUCUUUGGGUCAGUGGAGGAAGAGGGCUCCUUGGGCAGUGACAAGGGUCCCAGACAAGGUGCAUGUGUCAGGAAACAGGGCUUUCUUUUCAUAGGAAGAUAUUCAUGGUCUGUAUCUUCCCAUUUUUUUUACUGAGUUUGUUUCAUGAUAUUUAGUAAUAUGUGUAAUGUGAUAGAUACAUAUGUAGAUUUAGUAAAAUACAUAUAUUUGUAGGUAUUGAUUCAUGUCUUAAAUUGACUUAAGGACCUUUCUUUUUGUUUAUAUGGUGAAUCACUCAGACUUCAGUUAGAAAGAGGUACAAGUAUAAUGGAGUAAGUUCCAGGAUUGUGUGUACAUGUAUACAUUAGGGGCCAGUGUAUGUCUGUGUUCCACUACCUGUGUGUUGUCACCUGUGUGUAGAUGUUACUAAGCAUCAGACAAGGUUACAAGGUGUGAUGAAAACACAUGGUGAGUGUUUACAUUCAAAACAUUUCUUACAGUAAAGACACAUGGCCACUAAUUCAACUCAGAAUCUCCCCCACUGCUUAGCACACCUGGAAGUGAGCAUAAGCUGCACACUGCUCUUGCCACUUUCUGAAGCAGUGCUGAAGUCACUGCAAGAAAACAGGCAAAAAUGGAGAUCAUCGUGUUGAGUGGAGUAAGCCAGACUUGGAAGAACUAUCAAGGUGCUCCCUAAUUGGGAUCUCAAUGAUGACAGGAGAGUAGAAGGGAGA